rnacentral:rRNA from 1 species
AAACUAAAUGGCUGCAGUAACUAUGACUGUAUGAAUGUAGCAUAAUCACUCGCCACUUAAUUAGUGGAUAGUAUGAAUGGUUAAACGAAAAUUUCUCUGUCUUAUGUAAUUAAAAAAAAAUUUAAAUCAUAGUUAAGAUGCUAUGUAAAAUUGUAAGACGAAAAGACCCUAUAAAGCUUAACUAUAAUUUUUUAUAUUAUACAAUUAAACAAAAAUAAAAUAAAAGAUUGGUAGUUUCAUUGGGGCGAUGGUCUCUAAAAAAUAACAGAGAUAAACUAUAUUAAUAAUAAAAAAUUUACUGUUUAAUAAAUAAAUUUAACAGUUACUAAGUAGGUUAUAAAGACCCAUUAUUAUCUAUAAAAAGAAAUAAUGAUCAAAAAAUAAAAGCUACUUUAGGGAUAACAGGAUAAUAUUUUCUAAGAGUCCUUAUCGAAGAAAAAGUUUAUCACCUCGAUGUUGAAUUAAGAUAACCUAA